rnacentral:rRNA from 1 species
AUUGAACGCUGGCGGCAGGCUUAACACAUGCAAGUCGAGCGGGGAAAGGUAGCUUGCUACCUGACCUAGCGGCGGACGGGUGAGUAAUGCUUAGGAAUCUGCCUAUUAGUGGGGGACAACAUUCCGAAAGGAAUGCUAAUACCGCAUACGCCCUACGGGGGAAAGCAGGGGAUCUUCGGACCUUGCGCUAAUAGAUGAGCCUAAGUCAGAUUAGCUAGUUGGUGGGGUAAAGGCCUACCAAGGCGACGAUCUGUAGCGGGUCUGAGAGGAUGAUCCGCCACACUGGGACUGAAACACGGCCCAGACUCCUACGGGAGGCAGCAGUGGGGAAUAUUGGACAAUGGGCGCAAGCCUGAUCCAGCCAUGCCGCGUGUGUGAAGAAGGCCUUUUGGUUGUAAAGCACUUUAAGCGAGGAGGAGGCUACUUGGAUUAAUACUCUAGGAUAGUGGACGUUACUCGCAGAAUAAGCACCGGCUAACUCUGUGCCAGCAGCCGCGGUAAUACAGAGGGUGCGAGCGUUAGUCGGAUUUACUGGGCGUAAAGCGUGCGUAGGCGGCUUUUUAAGUCGGAUGUGAAAUCCCUGAGCUUAACUUAGGAAUUGCAUUCGAUACUGGGAAGCUAGAGUAUGGGAGAGGAUGGUAGAAUUCCAGGUGUAGCGGUGAAAUGCGUAGAGAUCUGGAGGAAUACCGAUGGCGAAGGCAGCCAUCUGGCCUAAUACUGACGCUGAGGUACGAAAGCAUGGGGAGCAAACAGGAUUAGAUACCCUGGUAGUCCAUGCCGUAAACGAUGUCUACUAGCCGUUGGGGCCUUUGAGGCUUUAGUGGCGCAGCUAACGCGAUAAGUAGACCGCCUGGGGAGUACGGUCGCAAGACUAAAACUCAAAUGAAUUGACGGGGGCCCGCACAAGCGGUGGAGCAUGUGGUUUAAUUCGAUGCAACGCGAAGAACCUUACCUGGUCUUGACAUAGUAAGAACUUUCCAGAGAUGGAUUGGUGCCUUCGGGAACUUACAUACAGGUGCUGCAUGGCUGUCGUCAGCUCGUGUCGUGAGAUGUUGGGUUAAGUCCCGCAACGAGCGCAACCCUUUUCCUUAUUUGCCAGCGGGUUAAGCCGGGAACUUUAAGGAUACUGCCAGUGACAAACUGGAGGAAGGCGGGGACGACGUCAAGUCAUCAUGGCCCCUACGACCAGGGCUACACACGUGCUACAAUGGUCGGUACAAAGGGUUGCUACCUAGCGAUAGGAUGCUAAUCUCAAAAAGCCGAUCGUAGUCCGGAUUGGAGUCUGCAACUCGACUCCAUGAAGUCGGAAUCGCUAGUAAUCGCGGAUCAGAAUGCCGCGGUGAAUACGUUCCCGGGCCU